UACGGAGGGUGCGACCGUUGCUCGGAAUCACUGGGCGUAAAGCGCACGUAGGCGGAUUGCUAAGUCAGGGGUGAAAUCCUGGAGCUCAACUCCAGAACUGCCUUUGAUACUGGCGACCUUGAGUCCGGGAGAGGUGAGUGGAACUGCGAGUGUAGAGGUGAAAUUCGUAGAUAUUCGGAAGAACACCAGUGGCGAAGGCGGCUCACUGGACUGGUAUUGACGCUGAGGUGCGAAAGCGUGGGGAGCAAACAGG
rnacentral:rRNA from 1 species